rnacentral:rRNA from 1 species
GACAGAGGGUGCAAACGUUGUUCGGAUUUACUGGGCGUAAAGCGCGUGUAGGCGGCUUGGCAAGUCGGAUGUGAAAGCCCACGGCUCAACCGUGGAAGCGCAUCCGAAACGGCCUCGCUCGAGUCUCGGAGAGGAAGGUGGAAUGCUUCGGUGUAGAGGUGAAAUUCGUAGAUAUCAAGCAGAACACCUGCGGCGAAGGCGGCCUUCUGGACGAUGACUGACGCUGAGACGCGAAAGCGUGGGGAGCAAACAGG